rnacentral:rRNA from 1 species
GACGAACGCUGGCGGCGUGCCUAAUACAUGCAAGUCGAGCGGGCUGAUCCUUCGGGAGAGGCUAGCGGCGGACGGGUGAGUAACACGUAGGCAACCUGCCUGUAAGACCGGGAUAACUACCGGAAACGGUAGCUAAGACCGGAUAGCUGAUUUUCCUGCAUGGGAGAAUCAUGAAACACGGCGCAAGCUGUGGCUUACAGAUGGGCCUGCGGCGCAUUAGCUAGUUGGUGAGGUAAUAGCUCACCAAGGCGACGAUGCGUAGCCGACCUGAGAGGGUGAUCGGCCACACUGGGACUGAGACACGGCCCAGACUCCUACGGGAGGCAGCAGUAGGGAAUCUUCCGCAAUGGACGAAAGUCUGACGGAGCAACGCCGCGUGAGUGAUGAAGGUUUUCGGAUCGUAAAGCUCUGUUGCCAAGGAAGAACGCCAAGGAGAGUAACUGCUCUUUGGGUGACGGUACUUGAGAAGAAAGCCCCGGCUAACUACGUGCCAGCCGCCGCCGUAACAC